AGUGAACGCUGGCGGUAGGCCUAACACAUGCAAGUCGAACGGCAGCACAGGAGAGCUUGCUCUCUGGGUGGCGAGUGGCGGACGGGUGAGGUAUACAUCGGAAUCUACUCUGUCGUGGGGGAUAACGUAGGGAAACUUACGCUAAUACCGCAUACGACCUACGGGUGAAAGCAGGGGACCUUCGGGCCUUGCGCGAUUGAAUGAGCCGAUGUCGGAUUAGCUAGUUGGCGGGGUAAAGGCCCACCAAGGCGACGAUCCGUAGCUGGUCUGAGAGGAUGAUCAGCAACACUGGAACUGAGACACGGUCCAGACUCCUACGGGAGGCAGCAGUGGGGAAUAUUGGACAAUGGGCGCAAGCCUGAUCCAGCCGUACCGCGUGGGUGAAGAAGGCCUUCGGGUUGUAAAGCCCUUUUGUUGGGAAAGAAAUCCAGCUGGCUAAUACUCGGUUGGGAUGACGGUACCCAAAGAAUAAGCACCGGCUAACUUCGUGCCAGCCGCCGCCGUAA
rnacentral:rRNA from 1 species